UUAAAGGUCCUGACCUAUGAACCCCUGGUUCCCACUACCUAGUUCUUAAUUAUUUGCUUGAUCCUCCAGUUUUAAGCUCCUUCAGAUUAAGCAAGGUGAGCUUUGAGCCUAGCAUGCAUCUUGAAAUAUAUAUAUAUAUAUGGAAUGUAUGAUUGUGAUGCAUAUGGAAUAUGGAGGGUUCCCCAUUGUAAUUCUGUUGAGAAGUGGUUGGUGGGUCUGGAGAUCCAUGAACAUGUUGCCAGCAUCUGCAUGGCUUAUGGUGCGAACAGGCUCCAUACUGCUCCAUGCAUGGCGUCAAAGCUUUCACUCCUCCAUUGGCAAAGUGUGGCUGAAUCCUACAAGGACAAAAACACUGAGGAAUAUUCUUUCAACUAAAUUCAGGAAAACAAGGAUUAAAGGACCAGCCACAAUGAGACGAGAGGAGUACCCAUGGAGUGUCCAGAGGAACUCAGCAACUGCCCAUGCCAGCAUCUUGUUUAUAUCCAAAUACCAAGUCAGGAAGUCAAGCAUGAAGCUCGGUCCCUGAGACAUUAAAUUCCAUCCUGGUGCCCAAGUCCAGGUCUGAAUCUCCCAAACCAGAGACAGUCCUGAGCAGAACAACUCUGAAGAUUAGUUGUCUUUUCUGUGAAACUGUCUUUAAAUCAUGAGUGAUUUGGCACUAUUUUUGGCAUAGUUUGCCUGGUCUCAAAAUGAUGAGACUCAGGCUUGUGAAAAUGGAAAUUGAUUUACUUUCUAUUCUUCUGGAGCUUAUCUAUUUCAGCUCUACCUUCUCUGGAAUAUGCCAGGAGGCGGCACUGCUUUCAGCUUGAAAAAUUUCUUUUAAAAAAAUUGAAAAUUACUAAGACUUGGACUAAGAAAGCGUAUGGGUAAUUGCUUUGCCGACCACUACUACUUCUCUCACCAAGCAGGGAAAAUCAGGCCGCUAACUACUUGGCUAGCCAGUGAUAGGAGUCAGGUAGGUAGUUUAUCUCCUGUCUUUCUCAGCUGGAUUCAUUCCAUUGUGUCUGUCUUGCUUUUUAAAAAUAGAGCAUAAAUUUUAAAAUAAUAUUUCUCAAAACCAUAUCAAGCAGAAAUGGCAUAAUUUGAUGCUAAAUUAUAAUGGUGAUCCUUCCAAGGUGAAAUUCAGAGCUCUGGCCCAGUACUUGGGAAAUGUGAUUAGUACUGCUGCCAGUGCCUUCUGGUGAGCCAGCACCACAAAUUUGAUUUCAUAAUAAAGUGCCAUCAUGAUCACCAGAGCAAUGCUAUCCAUUUAGGUGCUGGGUUAGAAUCUAGGCAAAUCCACAGUAUAGCCUUUACACAUCAUCAGCUUCCACACAGGACAUAAAUUGCACUAAUAUAGUAAUAUACUGAAAUCUCAGACCAACUGUUUGUCAUCGGAUUAGAAUGUGAUGACACAAAAUAAAGACGUGAGACAAAAUCUGUGCUGAAGUCUAAAUUCACAUUGGAAGUCUGGAAAGAAAAGACUGUUUAUAGAAUUACAGCCCGGGAAUUGCUGCCAAAGUCAGCCUCUGGUGCAGCUGUAAGUCGGAUGGAAUCCACCUCCCUCACAUCAGACCCGCCCACUGGAAUGCUGCUCUUCUGACUAGAGCUUCCCUGGAUGGAAACUAUAUGUCAUAGCACAAAGUAGGUACUGUCACGCCAAUGCUGUCAGCUUGGUUGGAUCUUUAUGAUGGGUUGGCCAUUGACUCGCUUCCACCCAGCAAAAAGAAGGCCAGAAGAGCCUUUGUGGUUUUAGCACUCAUAUUUGUCACUGCCAAGUUUGAGUUCUGCUCAAGCUAUCAGAUUUCAUGAGUCCUGCCCUCUAGGACUUUCUUUUCCAUUGAUGAGUUGUGGGCUCUUUUGUCCUUUCUGUUCAAUCUUCUUCAAUUCUCAUUUUCACCUUCUUCAGAGAAAUGGUAACUUGUUUACUACCAAUUGUGCCUCCAGACACAGUAUGCUCUAUCAUUUACAAAACCCAAAGAGGCAGUGCAGUUCUUCAUUGUUGAGAAUUUUUUAAACAUUCAACAUGUUUUAAAUCACACCAUCUUUUUGAUUGAAAAAUAUAGUGAAUAUUUAAAUUAAAAGACCGUUUUUAUAGUAAAAACCACAUUCCCAUUAAUCUGCCUCAGAAUAUUCCUUCUAGCUUUC
ensembl:lincRNA